CCUCCUCUCUCCUGUGAAAAUAUCUCCUCUCUCCCCUCUUCUCUGUGCCGCCGCCGCCGCCUCCGCUUCCCCCCUCCCUCUCGGCCGCCUUGUCUCCUCCGCGUCCACCGUCUGCUUCUCCCCUUGUCUCGGCACCCGAGUAGCACGGCCACAUCACGCCUGCGCCCUCGCUUUGCCACAUCCUCUGCGUCGUCGUGCCAUCACACCGCCUCCACUUCGCCUUUGGUUCCCCGCCGCAGCCUCCUGCCCGUGCGCUUGAGAGGGGCAUCGCCGUCGUUGCCGGUGGCGACUUCAUCGGCCGCCUCCUCUCUCCUUGCCAAUCGUGACUGCCACGACCUCGGACCUCGCUGCAGACCCCUCGGCUAUCAGGGAAGGCAGCCAUCAGUGGAGAUUGAGCCGGCUACAUGGGUGCACUUACCAGGCUCUAUUUAUAUUACCCACUUUCCGUUUGGAUAAUGUUACUUUGCUUGUAAUUUUGAGAUUAAACUAUUAGCUUACUAUCAGGUCUGCACCAUUCUAGAUAUCAUCUUGACUUUUAACUUCUCCAAAUGCAACAUUGGAUAACAUAAAUAGGAAUUUUUGUCAAAUUGUGAAACUGUAAUUAAUAGAUUCACCUGAAUAUUAAUCUGUUGUGUUAUUGCAGGGAAGAGGUAUGAAAUUCUCAACUUAGGAGGGAGCAUACACAAGGUAUUCCACGCUUCCCAUUCUCCUCAUGUAGCAAAGGAACAUCCAACCUGUCAUGUGUCGAUCACUAAGUAAUAAACAGGACUCUGAUGUUGGAAAGAAGCAACUGGAUAUCAAAGCAAAAGGAACACGGCUCCUCUUAUAAAUCAGUGAACUAUCCUAAUUCUGGACUCUUAUGGCCCUAUAUAUGCCAAGCAGUCACAACUGCUGUUUUAGACAAACUAAAAAAAAAAAUUUAACUUUGCAGUGUAAGCAGACCCUUGAGUAGGAGAGCAACAUGACUGCUAGCUUCCCUGCUGCAUUACAGGAGAUGGAUACGAAGUCCUCGGAGGAGGAAUACAAAGCUCUACAAGGUGAUGGAGCUGGAGAUGUUGUGUAUUUCCAGUCUCUUGAAGAACGAAUCAUUAAUAUGAAGAUUUUGCAGGGAUGUAUAUAUAUGAUCAUGUUUCACUGGGAUCCUCAACUGUUCCGGUUCGUAUUUAGCAGGAUCACAUGUUGACCAAUGACUCAAAUUAAUUUUCUCACUGAUCCUGUUUACUCAAGAACUUGUGACCCAGUUCCAGGACAACUAUGGACUAAGGGGUGGAGGUUGAUUUAUCAUGAGGCGGUUACAGGCAUGCAUGUUUUAUGGUGGCAAGCAUUAUAUAUCAUUGAAGACUCACCAUUUGUUCAAGUUCCUAACAUGCUAAUCGGCAACCUUUAGAAGAUUGCCCUUCAAAAUUUUCUUGCCUGCUCUCCUUGCCCCUGAGCUCCUGUACCAGCAACAACAACUUGUGUGUGGUAUCAGCCAGAGAUUAGCGUUGAUUUUUUCAAGUUAUUGGGACACUCGAGAACUAGCAGUACCACAUAAAAAAGUCUGGAGUUAGCAGAACCAGAAGCAUUACACUGAGGCGCUCAGAAGAAACCCAAAGGAUCCAAAGGUAUACGGCAACACGGCUUCCUGUUACACCAAGACGGAUGCCAUGCCUGAAGUACUGAAGGAUACCAAGAAGUGCAUCGAGCUAUAUCCCACAUUCUACAAGGGAUGCACAAGGAAGGGUGCAAUCCUGUUUGUCUCUAAAGAAUGCGACAAAGCAAGGGAACGAGUGUUCCUGAGUGGUUUUCUUAUUGCUUGAUCAAAACUACAAGCAGAGCAAAUUUAAAGUCCUGCUGUUCUCUUUGCAAAUUUAAGGUCCUGCAAAUUUAAGCUGCAAUGGAAAAAGUGAAGAUUCCAGUAAAAGUGCUUCUAGACGCUAUGAUGCACCAGCUUGGCCUCCCAAAUGCAGUUUACUCAACACAAAAAGGGGCGGACGGUCGGUCUUGAUGCAAUAGUUCACUUCUAUGGAUGUAAGCAGCAACUGGACAAUAGACUUUCACCAAAAUCAAUAUCCAUCCAUGUGUAUGAUAAACUCGAAGAAGCUGAAGAUCAACUAGCAACUGAGGCUCUCAGGUGCAUACAAGGUUCUUACAACACAGUUCUACAAGACAUAAACUACGACAAGGCACAUCUAGCUCAAGAAAAAUGUUAGACUCUAGAGCAUCAGCAAAAAAGAUAAGGACGGAAGAAUCAACUAUUUUAGCAGCAGUGGAGAUCAAAUUGCAGCAAAGGAACUUUAUCGCAUAACAGAUACAAACUAGCUGGCUCAAUAUCCAAAGACAACAAUCUCAAUCAUGUUUUAUCACAGGUAACAUAUGUUGCUGACCGUCUUAGCGAUACAACAACACAGUCUGAAUAUGAUCUCCAGCAAAUAAACCACUAUUAUUGGGGCCUGGACGAUGAUAUCGAAGGAAUUUCUGCUUUGAGCAAUGCAGGCCACGAAGAAUAGCAGUUAUGAAGAGUUGCCUCAAAGAGGUCGUUCUAAACAUCCAGCGAUACAUCUGUCUAAGUAUCUUUGCCUAUCUACAUGCCUUGCUCAUAACAUGUAAAUGAUCGUUCGUAAGCUUCUUAGGAAACAUGUAUCAUCAGCAACCAUCUAUCUAUCAUCAACCCAUACUUAUUU